CCCUUAGAUGUUCUGGGCUGCACGCGUGCUACACUGAGUGGAUCAGCGGGUCAGGUUGCGCGAAAGUGUUUCCUAAUCUUGAAAUCCGCUCGUGAUGGGGAUUGACGGUUGCAAUUUUCCGUCAUGAACGAGGAAUACCUUGUAAGCGCGGGUCAUCAUCCCGCGCUGAAUACGUCCCUGCCCUUUGUACACACCGCCCGUCGCUCCUACCGAUUGAGUGGUCCGGUGAGGCUUUGGGAUCUGAGCGGAAAGAGCGUUUCGCUGUUUCUGCUCGGAAAACUCAGUCGAACCUUAUCAUUUAGAGGAAGGAGAAGUCGUAACA
rnacentral:rRNA from 1 species